GAUGAACGCUGGCGGUGUGCCUAAUACAUGCAAGUCGAGCGAACAGACGAGGAGAUUGCUCUUCUGACGUUAGCGGCGGACGGGUGAGUAACACGUGGAUCACCUACCUAUAAGACUGGGAUAAUUUCGGGAAACCGGAGCUAAUACCGGCUCAUAUAUUCUACCGCAUGGUUCAAUAGUUCAAGACGGCUUUGGCGUUACUUUUAGCUGGUUUCGCGCCGGAUUAGCUAGUUGGUAAGGUAACGGCUUACCAAGGCAACGAUGCGUAGCUGACCUGAGAGGGUGAUCAGCCACACUGGAACUGAGACACGGUCCAGACUCCUACGGGAGGCAGCAGUAGGGAAUCUUCCACAAUGGGCGAAAGCCUGACGGAGCAACACCGCGUGAGUGAAGAAGGUCUUCGGAUCGUAAAGCUCUGUUAUUGGGGAAGAACAAAUGUAUAUGUAACUAUGGACGUCUUGACGGUACCUAAUCAGAAAGCCACGGCUAACUACGUG
rnacentral:rRNA from 1 species